GGCGUUGGGCACCAUUAUGGCAUAUGAUGGAAUUUGGAUUGUGACACUCUACCUUCUAUUAUAUAUAAAUAUACCCAUGUAUUAACACUUAUAUUCCAAUACUCCCCCUCAAGUUGAAGGGUGUAUAGAUGUUCAACACUCUUAGCUUGCCAAGUAACAUAGAAAGUUGCACAAAACUCAGUUCCUUUGUAAGCAAAUCGGCUUAUUGAUCUUUAGUAUUUAGAUACUUUUUCUCCCACAUCCCAUGCUUGAUCUUCUCCCUAAUGAAGUUAUAAUCGUUCUCUAUAUGCUUUUGUUCUUUCAUGGAAGAUGAGAAUGACAGCAAUCAGCAUUGUUGCCUUGCAAUUACAACAAAGAGUCAUAGAUUUCUAGAUUGCAACUCCUAGUUCACUGAAAAGGCCAAUCAACCAAACAAUCUCAGCUACUGUCGAGGUCAUAUUCCUGUACUCUACCUCUACACUGCUUAUUGUAAAUUGUGUGUUGCUUCUUGGACUUCUAGGAUAUCAAGGAAUAUCCAAGCUUCACAAUAUAGACACUAACAUAUCUUCUUGUGACUGGACAUGCUGCCUAGUUUGAGUCGCAAGAUGCAGUCAAAGUAUCUGCAACUUCCUUUCAGCAGAAUUCUUAUUCCAUGACUCAUUAUUCAAAUAUCUUACCACUCUUGUUGCCUUGUCCAUAUGUGAUUAUUUUGGAGCUUGCAUAAAUUGGCUCAAGCUUUGAACAACAUAGAUAAUUUUGGGCCCUGUAACUAUUACGUACAAUAAUUUUGCAAUCAAUUUCUUCGAGCUAAUAGUAUUAACUAGGUGGUCAUCAUCUCCAACCCCAACUACUUUGUCAUAUUCCAGUAUAGUCAGCUUGUGGUUGAGUUCAAGAGGUGUAACUGCAGUCUUAGCAGCACUCAAUCCCAUUUCAGGAAUAAAUUUAAGUGCAUAUUUUCUCUGAUUGAGUAUAAUCCUUUUCUUGUAUCUCAGCACUUCAAUCCCUAAAAAGUAUAUUAAUUCUCCCAAAUCUUUAAACUUUGAAUUCUUGAUUCAGCAUACCAUUGGCUUCAUCAAUCAGGUUUUUGUUUCUACCUAUAAAUAAUAGAUCAUCCACAUAGAUCAACAUGAAGUAAUCAUAAGAACUUCGGCAAAAGUCAGUCUUUGCCAAGGUUUUAGUCAAUUUUAGAUUCCGCUGCCUUGAUGUCUGUUUGAGUCCAUAUAAGGACUUAAGUAAUUUGUAAACCUUCUUAUGCUUUCCCUGUCCUCGAAAAUCUUGAGGCACGUCCAUGUAAACCUCCUCAUAUAAGUCUCCAUGCAAGAAAGUAUUGAAUACAUCCAUUUGAUACAAACUCCAAUCCUCAGAAGCUGCUAAAGCUAUAACAGAUUUUACUAUUACCAUCUUUGCCAUUGGAGAAAAUAUUUUAUAGUAGUCUAACCUUGCCUGUAGGUUUCAUCCUUUAGCAACCAACCUAGCAUUAAAUAUUUCAACCCUCCUAUUUGUUUUGUACUUAAUUUUACAGACCAUUUGGAUCCUAUAGCAGUCUUCCCAACUGGUAAGUUCACUACUUCCCAGGUGUUAUUAUCUUCUAAGGCCAAAACCUCCUCUUGUAUAACUUCAAUCUACCUUUUAUCUUUUACUUCUUCCCUGAAGGUUUAAGGCCUUUCAUAUUGAAAUAGCAUGCAAGUAAUUUCUAUAUUUCUCUAUCACAUGUUCAUAAGACAAGAAAUAUAAAUAGGAUAUGAACUCUAAGAGGUUUUGGGAGGAUUCAACACAUAGUCUUGCGUCUGAAUUAGAGGUUUUUUUGUGGCAUGUCUGUUGGUAAACACCGGCGAGUUAUUCUUCUAGAAUAGGUAACUUUGACUCUAUGAUAUCUAGAGAUUCUGCUGGAACUGUACUCCCUGUAUCAUCACCCUGUUAGAUGUUUACCUUAUUUUAAAUUGUUAUCAUGUUUUUCUUUAACAAAUUUUAUAUUUAAUUUGUUAAUUUAACUGAUAUUUUGCUUUGUUUAAAAAUGAUACUUUUACUCAGUUUUAUUUAUUUCUAAACUAAACCCAUCGGAUACUCUGUUUUGUAUAAAUUGUAUAUUAUUUUACUUUAUUAUUUUUAAAAUAAACUCAUUAUAUUAUUUGACACCUUACUUUAUUCAAGAUUGUUAUUAUGUUUUAAUGUGUUUAAAUAUAUCUCUCGUUCAUCUAAAUUGAUAUUUGUCAGGGUUGCAAAGUACAUGGUAGCACGUGGGCUUUACUGUGCGACGAUGACUAUUAUUGUGGGCACGAGGUGCCAUAUGUGUAAGAAUUGAAAAUUAUGGUUCAUGACUUGUGAUUUAUGAGGUGUGGUGCCUCGGGGUAAUUCUUGUUGUAUGUUCAUGCAAUGGGAGCGAUUUGAUUAUUCGAGUUGUCAUCCAUUUUUCCUUACUUGAGUUUAUUUAUAUCUCAUCGGUGUUCUGAUUAUGUUGUUUCUUUAUUACUCAUUUACUACUUGUUUAUCAUUUAUGUUUCAAUUAUUUCAUUGUUGGUUCUAAAUCGAUUAUCUUUUCCUUGUUGGUCUUACAUUGAAUUUCUUUCCAUUGUUAGUUUAUGUAUAUCUUGAACAUGUUUCUAUGUCUAGCAGGUAUCCUGACUUGGCCUCGUCACUACUCUAUCGAGGUUAGGCUUGAUACUUACUAGGUACUAUUGUGGUGUACUCAUGCGACGCUUCUGCAUAUUUUAUGCAAAUCUAGGUAUUCUGAUCGUGUUGUUGAGAGUUGCUUCUGCGCAGCGGGAGACUUCAAGGUAUACCUACUUGACGUUCGCAGGCCUCGAAGUCACCAUCUUACUUUAUUAUGCUACUAUUAAAUUAUAAUUCAAAACAAUAUUGUGUUUAGAAAUUCUAGUAUGUUUCAGUAGUGCUUAUGACUCCGUACUACCGAUUUUAGGAAAUGUAUAACUAUUGGGCGCUUGCGGCUAUGUAUGUCAUUUAAUGGUUUAUGAUUAAUGAUUAAAUAGUUCAAUUCUGUUAUUAUAUCAGCAUGUGUUAGUCUUACCUAGUCUUAGAGACUAUGUGCCAUCAUGACAUCCUAAGGUGGGAAAUUGGAGUUGUGACAGUGGGUAUUUUCGUACGGUUAAUAUGAUGUUGGCACGAUAAGUAUUAUUUCUGUGCGGUUUGAAAUGAAAUUAGUUUGUUUGUUAUUACUGUGGAAAAGGAAAGAAAUUGGAUUUCUGUUAUGAUUACUCAUUCGUUAAGCACUUACAUUCCCCUUUAUUUUAGUUUCUGAAAAAUGUUUGUUGUUUAGUAUGAUACCUUCCGCUUGAGUUCCCUUGGUAGUUACCUCUGCAUUUUUCCUUUGGGCCAUUACUGUUAUAGCUAUGUUGUUGCCUUGUUUGUUAUUGUUAUACCUGUAUUUUACUUGAUUUACUUAUGUUACAUGUCCUCUUCGAAUUCAUGCCGCUACUUGUUAUUAGCCUAUACCGAUUUUAUGCCUCUAAUUGUCACGUGAUUUACUUGUUAAAUCCCUUAACAUGCUACAUGUCUUCACUCACUACAUGCUUUCACUUACUACAUAUCUUCACUUACUAUUGAUUUUACUUACCAUAUGCUUUCAUUUAUUAAAUGCAUUUACAUGCUACAUGCUUCUACUUGCUAUAUGAUUUCAUAUACUAAAUGCCUUUAUCUGAUCCAUGUUCCUACUUGACAAACAUCUUUACCGUUUCAUGUUCUACUCUCUUUUGCUUAACUGGAGUGGGUGACUUUUAGAUUGGUUGUGUGUUAUGCAUUGUGGAAGCCUUGCCAUUUGCCAUUUUAUACGGUAGACUAGCUUUUGAUAUUGGAUUGCUCUCUUACUCUGUUUGAGUUGUAUUGUCUAGUUGAAUACCGCGUGUUUAUUUUCUUAGUGUUACAAUGUGAACUUUGUCUGUGUUUGGUUGUUGUUGCGGUUUCAUGUUAUAUUAUUGAUAUUUGGAUCGGGUUGCAAGCCGUAACAGAGUUUAUUGAUAUUGGGAUCGGAUUCAUGCCAGAAUAGUGUUUAUUGAUCCUGGGAUCGGGUUGCACACCACAACAGUGUUAAUUAAGAUUAGGAUCAGGUUGCACGCCGCAACUGUAUUUGUUGGUGGUGUUUGGUUAUGAUCCCUGUGCAUAUUUCAUGAUUAUUAUUCCCUGCGUAGAAAUAGUUAUGAGGUCAUGUGUUAUUUUCCAUGUCUGUUAACUUGCUCCAUAGCUUUUCAGUUGAUAUUCCUACCAUUAUUCGACAUAUUUCUUACCUUAUUUUUUCUGCUUAUUAUCUACACAGGUAUAUAUUAAGUGAGUAUCUCUAACUUAAAACCUCUUCACUACUUUACCGAAGUUAGCCAAGAUAUUUACUGAGUACAUGAGAUCGGUUAUCCUCAUACUACACUUCUGCAUCUUGCAUGCGGAUCUUGGAGUUGCGUAGCUGUGGAAGACGAAGCCCGGCAUUGAAGACGUACCUGCGUUCCAGAUUCAAGCUGCCUCUUGUUCAUGGUAGUUUAGGACCUAAAUUCUGUUUAUGUAUAUUUCAACCAAAUAUUGUAUUUAUCCUUCAUAUCGACUUUGUAAGUCCUAAUCAUUGUGGCUCAUGACUUGUACUACCAGUCCUUGAGGUAGUUAUAUUAUAUUCGGUUGUAGUUUCUAUUAUAUAUAUUACAAUUUAAUUGUAACUUAUAUUGAUUGUCUUACCUAGCGGGUUG
rnacentral:lncRNA from 1 species